rnacentral:misc_RNA from 1 species
UCGAAUUAAUUUGGUUUGGGUUGUUGCUGGCUCUUGGAGCAUGUGCACACUCACUCCAUCUUUUCUUUUAAACCACCUGUGAACCUUUUGUAGACCCGAAGCCGUCUUCAAACUGCUGUUUGGCCUGAGAAUUGCUGCGUGUUAAGCCAGCUUUUCUUGGUUUGGGUUUAUGUUUUUAUAAAACACCGAACAUGUAUUAGAAUGCUGGUUAAUAAAUCAAAUA